rnacentral:tRNA from 1 species
GCAUGUGUGGUCCAGUGGUUUUGGACACCUGCCUUCCAAGCAGGACAUCACGCGGGUUCAAAUCCCGUCACAUGCUCUA